rnacentral:rRNA from 1 species
AGUGAACGCUGGCGGUAGGCCUAACACAUGCAAGUCGAACGGCAGCACAGUAAGAGCUUGCUCUUACGGGUGGCGAGUGGCGGACGGGUGAGGAAUACAUCGGCAUCUACUUUUUCGUGGGGGAUAACGUAGGGAAACUUACGCUAAUACCGCAUACGACCUACGGGUGAAAGCAGGGGAUCUUCGGACCUUGCGCGAUUGAAUGAGCCGAUGUCGGAUUAGCUAGUUGGCGGGGUAAAGGCCCACCAAGGCGACGAUCCGUAGCUGGUCUGAGAGGAUGAUCAGCCACACUGGAACUGAGACACGGUCCAGCCUCCUACGGGAGGCAGCAGUGGGGAAUAUUGGACAAUGGGCGCAAGCCUGAUCCAGCCAUACCGCGUGGGUGAAGAAGGCCUUCGGGUUGUAAAGCCCUUUUGUUGGGAAAGAAAAGCAGCAGGUUAAUACCCCGCUGUUCUGACGGUACCCAAAGAAUAAGCACCGGCUAACUUCGU